rnacentral:lncRNA from 10 species
AAGGAAUGGUACCAGCUCUUCUUUGUACCUCUAGUAGAAUUCGGCUCUGAAUUUGGUUCCACUCUCCCCAUCACUUUCAGGUACACCAACCAAAGACAUUGUUGUCUUUGGGACCAAUACAUUUCUUCUAUCUGCAUAUCUGGGUAGAAGCUCUCAUGGAAGAAAAAAGAAAAGCCCCAUAGGUGAAGGGGAGUGUGCCUGCCAAGUUCCUUGUAAUAACUUCACACGCAGAGUAUUUUCUGAAAUGGAUCUGCUAGAGUCAUCUCAUGGAAUCUUCUCAUUCUUCUGGAGUCUCCUCAUUUUACAGGAAAAACAUCCAGGCAAGUGGACAGCAUUUGCAACAGCCCAGCAAUAAGAAGGACCAUAUUCUACUUGGGAAAAGGUAAAGUCGUUUCAUAUGGACGGAGCCUGCCAGGAAACCUGUCAUUCAACCCUUUGCAAUAAAACAGCUCCUCAUGAAUGAAGCAAAAUAAAUCAGAAGUUGUGGGCUUUUAAACUCACUAAAUGAAAGCACAGCAUGCAUGCAGCCUCCCUCCAAAUUAAUCACCAGAUUAAAUGCAAGAUGUGCACACCAAAUCAAUAGCUUGUGACGGGGACCUCCUGCCUGUGCUUCAGGAAAAUUCCAUUUCCUUUCAGAUGUUGUCGCUUGAAAUGUCAGGAAGUUUCCAUUCAUCACCCGCCCUUGAAAAUGCCACCAUCACCAUACUUCAUGUUUCCUUGCUUUCUUUCUUCAGAGGAAUCCAAGCACCUUGCAGAGGGAGCCCACUCCUUGUCACAG